rnacentral:rRNA from 1 species
AGAGAGAGACAUGCGCGCAUAUCAAUAAGCGGAGGAAAAGAAACUAACAAGGAUUCCCUUAGUAACGGCGAGUGAAGCGGGAAGAGCUCAAAUUUGAAAUCUUCAAGGUUUUACCUUGACGAAUUGUAGUUUAAAGAAGUGUUUUCUGCUGAAGUUUUGGUAAGAGUUCUUUGGAAUAGGACAUCAUAGAGGGGGUGAGAAUCCCGUAUUUGACCAUUAUUUUCAGCUUUGUGAUACACUUUCAAAGAGUCGGAUUGUUUGGGAAUGCAGUCCAAAAUGGGUGGUAAAUUUCAUCUAAAGCUAAAUAUUGGCGAGAGACCGAUAGCGAACAAGUACCGUGAGGGAAAGAUGAAAAGAACUUUGAAAAGAGAGUUAAACAGUACGUGAAAUUGUCAAAAGGGAAGCGUUUGACACCAGUGUUGUUUUCUCGAAAAUCAAUUAAAAAUGGCUCGAUUUUGUAUUGUUGAGACCUUAAAAGCUCACUGUACAUUUUUCGUGUCUUUUUUAAUGCACUUUUCGUUUAACAAGUCAACAUCAGUUUCUUUUGUUGUAAAAGGGUCAUUGGAAGGUGGCUUUCUCUAUUCGGAGAAAGUGUUUAUAGCCUUUGGCCUCUGCAAUCGGAGAGACUUGAGGUCUGCAGCGUAGACUCUUCGGGGUUAGAUACAUUUGUGCUAAGUUAUAGCUUUUUAUAGACAACUUGUUGACUAUAAUUAGUCUUGUAGCUUACUCGCUUAUGCUAUUUUACCUACGCUUAGGAUGUUGAAGUCAUCGUAUCGCGC